rnacentral:lncRNA from 1 species
CUUUACUAUGGCUUUGACCAGUGAGCUCUGCUUGUUACUGUCAGUAAUGUAUUACUUUCUCUUUCUGGGUUUCGCUUAUGCAUUCAGGGAUAUGUUCUUUUGCUAAUCAAUGAUGCUAAGUAUGUGGACUCCCUAAGGGUAAAUAAGACUUCACAUUUGAUUACCUUUUCACAUUGACAAUAUGUAAAGUGCAAAUAAUUACUGGUAUUACUGCUAUCGUUUAUUUUGCUAGAUUGCCAGACUACUGUCGGAGACAAGAUACAGACGUGGAAGGACUUUUGGCUUGAGUCAUUAUGACCAUUAUUUUGUUCAGAAAAAGAAAUUAAAGGAAAGAGCAUGAAGAUGUCCGGGCACUAAGAUGCCAAGCACUAAGAUCAGCACAGGCAAGAUGUAGUACGUCCUGCUCACAUGCUGCCUGCAUAAACUGAGGUUCUCCUUACUGUUUGCAGAAUUUAUCAUGUGUGGCCUGCUAUGGCUCUUGUCAUGGGGUGUGCUCCUCACAGCUUGAGGCUCCAUUUGCCUUGGGAAGAAGUGUGUUGUUGAGCUCUUUUCUGUUAUCUCAUCAAAGAAUAUGUCAGCUUCUGUGGGAACAGUAAUGACAUGUGGUUUGCUCUGAUCACAGCAUUUUGCUUUGUGAGCUGCUGACUGUUGCUGUGUCCAGGGUAAUCAUGAGGUGAACCGGAGUGCCAGAAAUUUGUCUUUUUGCCUGCUGCCAUGAAAGUGCUGCUCUGUUUUCCCUCAGCCCAAUUGUGCAAUAUGAGACAGGGUUUGCUCCUCUCCUAAAUCCACUAUUCACCUUGAUCUACUCAAAAGCACUAAGUUGCUGUACACUGUGGUUCUGCUGCUGCGUUCUGGUGAAGGUAAAGACUCUUGCGUAUGUCUGCACUGGAUCCCUGCAGCAACAUGUCACUGUGAGUGUACAGGUGUCUGUGUGGCUUUUGUUCUUGUGAAACCAUCAUGCCAGCAUCUUUUCAUGGCUAAGGUUAUCUUUUCGCUAAGUUAGAUAUCAAGUUACAUUUUGCAGGGGAGCUGUGGACAUUUUCGAGAUCAGACCUAGAGCACACUCUGUAAGGCAGAUGUACAA